rnacentral:tRNA from 1 species
CGGGACAUGGCUCAGUUGGUAGAGUUCUUGCCUAGGACACCUGAGGUGCUGGGUUUGAUCCCCAGUAUCACGA